rnacentral:rRNA from 1 species
UACAGAGGUGGCAAGCGUUGUUCGGAAUUACUGGGCGUAAAGGGCGCGUAGGCGGUUCGUUAAGUCCUGUGUGAAAUCCCCCGGCUCAACUGGGGAACUGCACAGGAAACUAGCGGGCUUGAGUACGGAAGAGGCGAGUGGAAUUCCUGGUGUAGCGGUGAAAUGCGCAGAUAUCAGGAGGAACACCAAUGGCGAAGGCAGCACUCUGGGACGUGACUGACGCUGAGACGCGAAAGCGUGGGGAGCAAACAGG